rnacentral:rRNA from 1 species
GAUGAACGCUGGCGGCGUGCCUAACACAUGCAAGUCGAGCGAGAUAAAUGUGAGUGGAGACUUCGGUCAAAGCGAUCAUUUUGAAAGCGGCGGACGGGUGAGUAACGCGUGAGCAAUCUGCCCCAUACAAAGGGAUACCCACUGGAAACGGUGAUUAAUACCUUAUAAGACCACGAAGUCGCCUGGCUUAGUGGCCAAAGAUUUUAUCGGUAUGGGAUGUGCUCGCGUCUGAUUAGCUAGUUGGUGAGGUAAUGGCUCACCAAGGCGACGAUCAGUAGCCGACCUGAGAGGGUGAACGGCCACACUGGAACUGAGACACGGUCCAGACUCCUACGGGAGGCAGCAGUGGGGAAUAUUGCACAAUGGGCGCAAGCCUGAUGCAGCAACGCCGCGUGAAUGAUGAAGGCCUUCGGGUCGUAAAGUUCUGUCCUAAGGGAAGAAUACAGUGACGGUACCUUAGGAGGAAGCCCCGGCUAACUACGUGCCAGCAGCCGCGGUAACAC